GACGAACGCUGGCGGCGUGCCUAAUACAUGCAAGUUGAGCGCUGAAGGUUGGUACUUGUACCAACUGGAUGAGCAGCGCACGGGUGAGUAACGCGUGGGGAAUCUGCCUUUGAGCGGGGGACAACAUUUGGAAACGAAUGCUAAUACCGCAUAAAAACUUUAAACACAAGUUUGAAGGUUGAAAGAUGCAAUUGCAUCACUCAAAGAUGAUCCCGCGUUGUAUUAGCUAGUUGGUGAGGUAAAGGCUCAUCAAGGCGAUGAUACAUAGCCGCCCUGAGAGGGUGAGCGGCCACCGUGGGACUGAGACACGGCCCAAACGCCUACGGGAGGCAGCAGUAGGGCAUCGUCGGCAAUGGACGAAAGUCUGACCGCGAAACGCCGCGGCAGGAAAGAAGGUUGUCGGAUCGGAAAACUCUGUUGGUAGAGAAGAACGUUGGUGAGAGUGGAAAGCUCAUCAAGUGACGGUAACUACCCAGAAAGGGACGGCUAACUACGUG
rnacentral:rRNA from 1 species